AGAGUUUGAUCCAUGGCUCAGAACGAACGCUGGCGGCGUGCUUAACACAUGCAAGUCGCGGGAGGACUACCCCUUCGGGGGUAGAGCCGACCGGCGGACGGGUGCGUAACACGUAAGCAACCUGCCCUUGUGCGGGGGACAACCCGGGGAAACCCGGGCUAAUACCGCAUGUUCCGGUGGAGUCGCAUGGCUUUAUCGGGAAAGGUGGCCUCUUUACAAUGCCAUCGCGCGGGGAGGGGCUUGCGGGCUAUCAGCUAGUUGGUGAGGUAACGGCUCACCAAGGCGACGACGGCUAGCGGGUCUGAGAGGAUGAUCCGCCACAUUGGGACUGAGACACGGCCCAGACUCCUACGGGAGGCAGCAGUGGGGAAUAUUGGGCAAUGGCCGAAAGGCUGACCCAGCGACGCCGCGUGCGGGAGGAGGCCCUUCG
rnacentral:rRNA from 1 species